UACGUAGGGUGCAAGCGUUAAUCGGAAUUACUGGGCGUAAAGGGCGCGUAGGCGGUCGUGACAAGUCACUUGUGAAAUCUCCGGGCUUAACUCGGAACGGUCAAGUGAUACUGUCGGACUAGAGUACAGAAGGGGCAACUGGAAUUCUCGGUGUAGCGGUGAAAUGCGUAGAUAUCGAGAGGAACACCUGCGGCGAAGGCGGGUUGCUGGGCUGAUACUGACGCUGAGGCGCGAAAGCCCAGGGGAGCGAACGGG
rnacentral:rRNA from 1 species